rnacentral:rRNA from 1 species
GUAGGUGGCAAGCGUUGUUCGGAAUUAUUGGGCGUAAAGCGCGCGCAGGCGGUUCUUUAAGUCUGAUGUGAAAGCCCACGGCUCAACCGUGGAGGGUCAUUGGAAACUGGAGAACUUGAGUACAGAAGAGGAAAGCGGAAUUCCACGUGUAGCGGUGAAAUGCGUAGAGAUGUGGAGGAACACCAGUGGCGAAGGCGGCUUUCUGGUCUGUAACUGACGCUGAGGCGCGAAAGCGUGGGGAGCAAACAGGAUUAGAUACCCUGGUAGUCCACGCCGUAAACGAUGAGUGCUAAGUGUUAGGGGGGUUUUCCGCCCCCCUUAGUGCUGCAGCUAACGCAUUAAGCACUCCGCCUGGGAGUACGGCCGCAAGGCUG